rnacentral:rRNA from 1 species
AGAAUCAACGCUGGCGGCGUGCCUCAGACAUGCAAGUCGAACGAUUAAAGCUCUCUUCGGAGAGUGUAUAGAGUGGCGCACGGGUGAGUAACACGUAAGUAAUCUACCCUCGAGUGGGGAAUAACGUCCGGAAACGGACGCUAAUACCGCAUAAUGCAGCGGCACCGCAAGGUGACAGUUGUUAAAAGAUUUUAUCGCUUGAGGAGGAGCUUGCGGCAGUAUUAGCUAGUUGGUAAGGUAAUGGCUUACCAAGGCUACGAUCUGUAACCGGUCUAAGAGGACGGUCGGUCACACUGACACUGAAUAACGGGUCAGACUCCGUACGGGAGGCAGCGAGUCGGGAAUUUUGGCGUAAGUGGGACGAAAGCCUAGACCCAGCCAACGGCCGACGUAGAAGG